AGAGUUUGAUCAUGGCUCAGAUUGAACGCUGGCGGCGUGCCUAACACAUGCAAGUCGAGCGGUAACAGGUGUAGCAAUACAUGCUGACGAGCGGCGAACGGGUGAGUAAUGCUUUGGAAUCUUCCCAGUAGUGGGGAAUAACCAGUCGAAAGAUUGGCUAAUACCGCAUACGUCUGUAAAGGGAAAGCGGGGGCUCGUAAGACCUCGCGCUAUUGGAUGAGCCAAAGUCGGAUUAGCUAGUUGGUGGGGUAAUGGCCUACCAAGGCGACAAUCCGUAGCUGGUCUGAGAGGACGACCAGCCACACCGGAACUGAGACACGGUCCGGACUCCUACGGGAGGCAGCAGUGGGGAAUAUUGGACAAUGGGGGAAACCCUGAUCCAGCGACGCCGCGUGUGUGAAGAAGGCCUGCGGGUUGUAAAGCACUUUUAGUGGGGACAAAAAGCUACGGAUUAAUACUCUGUGGUCUUGAUUUAACCCAAAGAAAAAGCACCGGCUAACUCUGUGCCAGCAGCCGCGGUAAUACAGAGGGUGCGAGCGUUAAUCGGAAUUACUGGGCGUAAAGCGCGCGUAGACGGUUUUGUAAGUCAGAUGUGAAAUCCCUGGGCUCAACCUGGGAACUGCAUUUGAAACUGCAUGGCUAGAGUAUCGAAGAGGGAAGUGGAAUUUCCGGUGUAGCGGUGAAAUGCGUAGAUAUCGGAAGGAACACCAGUGGCGAAAGCGACUUCCUGGUCGAAUACUGACGUUCAUGUGCGAAAGCGUGGGGAGCAAACAGGAUUAGAUACCCUAGUAGUCC
rnacentral:rRNA from 1 species